CCCUGUAUCUCGCCCUUUCUCUUCUACCCCUGUCUCACCGCCGCUUGCCCGCACCACAGCCGUCAGUUAGUUCCAGUUCUGAACCUCAUGCCGGGCACUGUGCUGUGGUUCCUCUUGCGCGUGCAGCUGCCUGCCGGUUCGCUAGCUCUACAUGAUGCUCCAGAUCGGGUCAAACCGCCGAAUAGUUGCAUGUACGUCCCAUCCUUUUCUGUGUAGCGAGCCGUAUACUGCGUCUUGAAGCCAAAUAAGAACACUUUCCAUUGUCUGAAGCUUGGUGUUGAAGAACUGAUUGUCUGAUGCUUGGAGGUUUGUCUGGAAAGAAACUAAUAUGUGAAGCUUGGAGGCGUAGCAAGGCUGCGCCACCUAGAUGUUACUGGAAAUCGUAAGGCAUGACCUGUGUUCCUUGAAGAUCACAUGGACAAAAUCAACAGUUUCCAAGCGUCGUCUUUUGUCACAAAAAAACAUUGUUGGGAAUAGUUGUAUGGAAUAUGUAAUUUAUGACGAACUGUGACAAAUAAUGUGACUGAAACUUUGUGUUUUGAAUGCUGAUAACUGAUGGAUGUUGACUUUACAUACUUCUUUUA